rnacentral:tRNA from 1 species
AAGGGUGCAGAAUCUUGCAUAUUGGUGCCCACUCCUGCCGCCGAUACCUGGCAUUUCGACGGCAUUCCGUUUCAUUCAUCCUGCUUCGGGAGCAGGAGGCCGGAGGUUCGAAUCCUCUCACCC